rnacentral:sRNA from 1 species
UCCUCCACAGAUGCCUCUUCUACAGCCGUUGGUGAGUCAUCUUU